rnacentral:rRNA from 1 species
GGGAUUGCCUCAGUAACGGCGAGUGAAGCGGCAACAGCUCAAAUUUGAAACCUGCCCCCCGGCCGGAUUGUAAUUUGCAGAGGAUGCUUUGGGAACGGCACUGAUCUAAGUUUCUUGGAACAGAACGUCACAGAGGGUGAGAAUCCCGUCCGUGGUCGGCUGCCUGCCCCGUGUAAAGCUCCUUCAACGAGUCGAGUUGUUUGGGAAUGCAGCUCUAAAUGGGUGGUAAAUUUCAUCUAAAGCUAAAUAUGGGCCAGAGACCGAUAGCGCACAAGUAGAGUGAUCGAAAGAUGAAAAGCACUUUGGAAAGAGAGUUAAACAGCACGUGAAAUUGUUGAAAGGGAAGCGCUUGCAGCCAGACUUGGGCGCGGGUACUCAGGAGCGGUUCGCCGCUCUGUACUUGCCCGCGCGCAGGCCAGCAUCAGUUUUGGGGGUGGGAUAAAGGCCGUUGGAAUGUGGCUCUUCGGAGUGUUAUAGCCUUCGGUGCCAUGCCGCCUCCCGAGACUGAGGACCGCGCUUCGGCUAGGAUGCUGGCGUAAUGGUUGUAAGCGACCCGUCUUGAAACACGGACCAAGGAGUCUAACAUCUAUGCGAGUGUUUGGGUGUCAAACCCACACGCGGAAUGAAAGUGAACGGAGGUGAGAGCCCUCAAGGGUGCAUCAUCGACCGAUCCUGAUGUCUUCGGAUGGAUUUGAGUAUGAGCAUAGCUGUUGGGACCCGAAAGAUGGUGAACUAUGCCUGAAUAGGGUGAAGCCAGAGGAAACUCUGGUGGAGGCUCGCAGCGGUUCUGACGUGCAAAUCGAUCGUCAAAUUUGGG